UAUGUCUCUUAAAAUUCAAGUAAGGCCAUUGAAUUGGUUUAAUAUCUUUUAAGAAUGUGUUUUGAAGAUAAAAAUAUUUUAUUUAAUCCUCUGGCUCAAACAAACAAGCAAACAAGUAGGUACACAAACAAACAAAAGACCAAACAAGCACACGAAAACAAACAAAUGUGCAAACAAACACACAAACAGACAAGAACGAACGAACUUAUUAUAAUAUAGCACGCCAUUGUUAUUUGUAAAAUUUUAAAGCUUUAAGAUUAUUUUACACUUUCUUUAUCUGCGCUGAUUACCACAAUUUUAUUUCAACUUAAUUGCCGGAACCUAUGCCUACCUAUUUAGUUGAUUAAUAUUAUACAUAAAUAAUAAAUCCUUGAAUUGAAAUUAAAAGUAGGGAAAAUCAAAACAAUUACAUUGGCAACACUUACAAAAUGAAGUCAUCGGUUUCUAUGACAACUAAAUUCACGUAAAAAUUAUUCAUUAUUUUAACAUAAGAAUAUUUAUUUGUGCUACUUACACGUGAAAUGUGAUCCUAUUCAGUUUCUUUUUUCUACCAACGGCAUUUUUACACGAAGGAAUAGCACAAGACGGCUUAAUUUAAUUAAAUUUGUCACCUGUAUAGCACGUCAAACAACACGACAAACACAGACAUCGUCGCUGUCUCAGCGUGCCGCCGACGCGGCGUGCUGCGCGACGUGCUACGCGUGCCUCACCUGCGUGCUGUGUUCCUGCUGCCAGGCUCUAAUGGCAGGCGCCGGCGGUGGUGAAAGUGAAGACGGGGGGCCGCCGACGGACGACGACGUGGGGCCCCCCGCCAACGUCGCGCCCCCCACCUUGCCGCACUGAGAAGAUAAUUAGACUUCUUUUUCAGUUGCGUGCACAAGCUGUUUAACUAGGGUGGGCACUCAUCAUCAUCAUCAUCAUAUCAGCCGAUGGACGUCCACUGCAGGACAUAGACCUUUUGUAGGGACUUCCAAACAUCACGAUACUGAGCCACCUGCAUUUUUUCUACCUAAUUUUCUUUAAACUUGUACGAAUUCCAAAAAAAUCAGCUAAAUCGCUUCAGUAGUAGCGGCGUUAAAAAGUAACAAACAUCCACUACCGGCAAAAGACGUACCGCCAAGCGAUUUAGCGUUCCGGUACUUUGCCGUGUAGAAACCGAAAGGAGUGUGGAUUUUCAUCCUCCUCCUAACAAGUUAGCCCGCUUCCAUCUUAGAUUACAUCAUCAUUUACAAUCAGGUGAGUUGUAGUCAAGGGCUAACUUGUAAGGAAUACAAAAAAAAACGGUACUUUUUGCAGUGAUUUUGUAGGCACGUAACAUAUCUAACAGUAGAAAAUAUCGUUUAUGUCAAGCGGUUUUCGAUAUUUCGUGAUGCUUCCUGUACCUUUUAUAUUUUACUCGUAGAUAGGUUAAAUAUGGGUUUGUAUAUAGAAAAAGAGAACUUUUCAGUAAGCUGGCGUUUAUUUUAGUAAUAAAUGUUUAUUUUUAA